rnacentral:lncRNA from 1 species
AGUUGUGUUCUGGUACCCAAAUAACCUGAAGACAGCUCUACCUUCCUUUCGGAUAAUCCUGAGUGCUGGUAUCUUCCCUCUGCAAUGCGUUUGAGUUCUAGGCAGAUUCCAGCCCCUUCUCCCCGUUUCUGUCGGCUUCACAUGGAAUCUUAACUGAUUCCACCCCAAUCUUUUAAAACUCCCUGAAAGAGCACUUCACUGACCGUAGCUAAGUCACAUAAUUUAACCUUACUCUUCACGGUGAUUAAAUUUUUAUUUGCUGUUGUGUACACUAAGAGGAGGAUGAUCCCUUAAUUUGUCACUGAACAUAAUUGCAAUUCUUGCCAAGCAGGUUGGAAAUCUACUUCCCUUUGUAGUGUGAAACCGAUGCUAAUUAGUGAGUCAGAGCUUUGGUGUAAAAAGUACGAGAACUUACUACAAGGAAUUAAAAACAACUUGUCUAUCACCAUUUUUAUAAGAGCAUUUUCCUCACUCUAUUUCCUAGCUGGUUGGAAGCCCUGCUGAGGGAGGGUACUGGGUAAGGGUGGCUGUCAUGACAAAACACACUACAGUGGUGGUUUAAGCCACUGAUACUUAUUUUCUCAUGGUUCUGGGGCUGGGAGUCUGGGAUGAGGGUGGCAGUAUGCUUCUGGUGGGGAACUCUCUUGCUGGCUUGCAAAUGGCAACCCUCUCACUGUGCUGGGAAAAGAGAAGGAGGUGGGAUGGGGACUGGGCCAGCCCUCUAUCAGUUCUUCUGAUAAGAGGGCACAGAUCUCACCCUCAGAGCUGCACCCUCAUGCCUCAUCUAACCCUGACUUUCUCUCGGGCCUCACCUCCAAGAACCAGCAUGUUGAGAAUUAGGAUUCCAACACAGGAAUUUUGUGGAGGGGACACAGUUCAACAGCCCAUAGCAGGCAGCAAAGGGUCACUCCUGUGGAGACGACAUGGUAAAGAAUCACGGCCACUUGACUUCCAGCUGAUUCUUUUAGAACUCUUGGAACUCACUGUGGCCCUAAAGAGAGAACAGAAUUCACAUGGAGAGGGUGCAUUAGUUGCAUGUUGCUGCUGUAACAACACAAACUAAUUGUACAAAAAUAGCACACACUUAACUUUCAGGUGUAAAGACCAGAAGUCUAAGAACCAAGAUGUCAGCAUGGCCACAUUCCUUCAGAAGGCUCUAGGAGAGACCUGUUUCCUUGCAUUCCUAGCUUCUAGAAGCUGCCUACGUUCCUUAUCUUUUGUCCCCUUCCUCAGUCUUCAAAGCCAGGAGUGCAACAUCUUCAAAUCUCUUUCUGAUCUCUGCUUUUGUUGUCACAGCUGCUGCUCUGACUCUGACCCCCUUGUCUUCCUCUUAAAAGGACUUUUGUGAUUAUAUUGGUCCUGCCUGAGUAAUCUGGUUGUUCUCUCCAUCUCAGCAUCCUUACCAAUGACAUCUGCAAACGCUUCUGUGUUAUUCAGCUUUCUGUUACUAUAACAAUAUAUCUGAGACCAUCAGUUUAAAAGCAGGAAGGAUUUAUUUUGGCUUCUGGUUUUGGAGGUUUCAGUCCAUGGUUUUUUGGCUCUACUGCUUUUGGGCUUGUAGGAAGGCAGCACAUCAUGGUGGAGCAUAUAUGAUGGUGGAAGCCCAUUUACCCAUGGCCAGGAAUCUAAAGAGAAGAGGGGGCUGGGGUCCCAAUAUCCUCUUAUAGGGCAUAACCCAAAUUAACUAACUCCUACCCACUAGGCCCCUCUCAAUGGUGCCAUAAGUUGGGGUCCAACACUUUUAGCAUGUGGCUUUUUGGGGACAUCCCAGACCCAAAAUCUAGCACUAAUAUAUUAACAGGGGAUCAUAAGGAAGACAUCUUUGGGGGGCCAUUACCUACCACAGAGUGUCUGUCUUGUCCUUUAUCCUGGGGAGUCAAGGGUCAACAUGAUGGUUUGCUGUUUUUUUCUUCCUUUCUUUUCUCUUUCCAAAUCCCUAAAGGUUUUGGGUCAUAUCUGCAGUUAUGAAUUGAUAUCUACAAAUGCUUUUGGGAAUUAGAGCUUUGUUUUGAUGAAAUUAGAGCUUAUGUUUUGAUGAAAACAUGUCUUUGAUCAAGACGCCAUACUUUGUGAAAAAUAAGAGUGAUCACUCAAAACCUCUCAUUUUAGGGGGCCUUCUAUUCUUGGGUGGGGGGGGCAUGAGAUUCCUAUUUCUAGGAGAACAUGAAGUGACUGUUUCAGCGAGGUAGCUUUUCCUGGCUCUGUAGCCUGAAUUAGAAGUUCCUCAUCUGUUCCUCCACGGUUUUUAAAGCACAGCUUUAUUUUAGAGCACUGGUCACAUUAUAGUACAAUUCUUUACUUACCUGUUGCACUGGGUUUUAUUAUAAGUGGAGAUCAUGCCUUAUUCUUCAAAGCAUCUUUUUGUGCUCGACAUCUUGUCCCGUAAAAUGACCUGCUGAGUGGAUGCAUUAAAAUGCCUCUGUAACAGCUUCUCAAUCUUGAAUUCUCUUUGCGGUUUUUGUUUUACACUGCUCAUUGUCAUGCGGGAUAUGAUACUGGUCAACAAGAUAAUUUCUCUAAAGUGCUUCAGGUAUUUGGAGAACUGCUUCUCCAAGGCUAAGCCCCACAGGCAACUAUCAAAUGAAACUGUGAACUAAAAUGUACCCUUUUCUUUUAGUUUUACCUGCCAAAGCUGUUUGUCGGUAAACCUGCCUCCAUAGUAAAUCUGAGGCAACUGGAGACAACAUGCACAAUUUUAUAUGAUGGCUGACAAGUGGUAGACACCCAGUAAAGCUUUAUAAAAUUAGAGAAUGAAAUCAUGAAUUAAUAAUAAGGGACCUAUGCUUUACCGGUUAUUAUACUUCUAAUAGCAUAUCAUUUAGUGAUAUAUAUAUAUAUAUAUAUAUAUAUAUAUAGUUGAAGAAGUGAAGACAUUUCAGUUUUCAUUGUUGCAAUAUUAGUCAACUUCUACGGCAGUAACAACCCCCAAGUCUCAGUGGUUCAUAAUAAUUACUUCUUACUUUCAUGUGAGGCCUGUGGGUUUGGUCUGGCUCUCCUGGGCAUGCCUGGGCUUACUGAACUCAGUUGGUCUAAUCUACUGUGUAGAAGGCCUUCUCAUUCUUGGACAAAAGUCAAAGCCGCAGCCAACACCUGAGAUAUGCUCCACUCAAGGUCAAGGCCCAAGCUCCAAGGAUGGUAGGAUGGGGUGAACCACGCAGAGGCACACAAAGCUUCUGCUUGGAUACAGCGUAGUCACGUCCUCUCACAUCCCAUUGGCCCAAGGAUGUCACGUGGCCCCAUUCAGCAUCACUGCGGAGGUGCCAAGGCAAAGGCAAAAAAUGCAAAUGAGUAGUGCAAUCCACCGAAACUAUGCCAGAAGUAAAGCUUGUUAAUGCCACUAUUUGGCCUUCGGUAAUAUUAAUUAUUUUCUAAAUAACUUUGAAUUUGGAUUUUAACUUAGACUGAGUAGUAAAGGUGGUUAUAAGGUCUUCCAUCGGCUCUGCAUAAAUAGACACUGGGGAAAAAGUAAAUAGAUUUGGGAGUUUUAGCUAAAGAAAAAACAACCUAUAUAAAUCUAUAGACAUUUUUACAAAGGUGAUGAUGUAGUUUUUACAAAAUAUUUCUGUGGCCUAGGCCAGCAGAAGGGGAUCUAAAUUCAAGCAGACAUACUAGGGUACACUCACCAGAAGGGACAAUUUCUCGACCAGUCAAGUGAGAAAGACACAGCAGGGCAAAAGGUCUUUCUAGUGGAACAAUUAAAUCAUUUAUCUGCUUGAAGGAAGACGCCUGGGCCAGAUGACAGGUUUCUGCCAAUACUCUGUUUAUAGAACUUUGAAUUUGGAAAUAAAACAGUCCUUUUAAAGACAGAUGGUGUUACAAUUCCUCUUACAUCAGUAAAAUGGCAUUAAGAAACCCAGGGAGCUGGGUGGGUACAGAAAAUGAAAAGUGUAAGAGAAAUAAAUACGAGAGGAAAAUGUAAUUCUGAGCAUUCACUGCUUAUACUUCAGAGACUAGCACAUUAUACUGAAUUCCCUUUUUUAAUGUAUUCAUUUGCUUAACCCAGACUUUCUUUCAGACAACAUUUAAUUAGUACCUACUAUGUGUAACUCUUUGUGAUAGGUAGCUGGUCUGGUAAGAAAUUACACAAUUUAUAGUUAAAACAUCCAAUAUAAUCAGCUACAAAUGCCAGCCAUCACCAUCCCCCUACCUCUGAAUUUUAUGCUUACCUUCUGGGAAAGAGAGGAAGUUAUUUAAACUGUGUUUGAUGAUCCACAAAGCCUAAAUGCUAAAAAACAUUAUUGUCUUUCAGGAGAUCACAUAAAUACCUACUCCUCAGGCAUUUUAAGGAGCUCUGAGGUGGUUUUGAAAGACAAGCGAUCCUCUGACAGCAACUUCUCCUCUUAGUUGCUUUUCAGGUGGAUUUGUGAACACAGCAAUGAGUGUUAGAGGCGCUAUUGCAGUUGAGGCACAGUUUUAAAGAAGUUCCCGGCUGCAAAGUGUAACAGCGUGUUAUGAAUGUGCUGAUCUGCAAGGCCUGCCUAAAGAGGCUCAGAAAUCAAUAGUUUUCUCAUGAAAAGAUGCAUGAUUUUUUUUGUAGUAGUUGCUGUGUGGCAUUACUAAGUCUUAAUCCGUGUGCUAGCAAUGGAAUGUGCUUGCUUCUUUGUUAGAACCAAUUUAUGAUAAUCCUGGCCGACUCUUACUAGCGUUUACCAGGAGCCAAGCACUUGGGAACUGCUGACUCACUUAAUCCUCCGCGGCCUUGGGAGGGCAGGAGCUGUUUCGUAACUCCACCUUACCCUCAUUUUGGAGAUUAGGAAACUGAGGCAAAAGAGGCUAUGCAUUUGCACCAGGUCAUGCGACUAGUAAAUGGCAGGGUUGAGUGUUGACUCUAGUACAGCUCCAUUUUGCUACCCUUCAAAAAUCCAAUAUUCAGAUUUUUAAAAGUUGGUUUAUGUUUGGGACAUAAUAUUUACAUUUGCUUUGGAGAACUGGCACACAUAUAAAUCAUCUUGAUUACCUUCCAUCCCCCCCUCCUCCUCUCUUCCGUUGAUCCCCUUCCCCACCUCUAGAAAGUCUGCCUCCAUUUCUUACCAUUUCUCUUUUAUUUGACUAUGUAUGCUUUGGGCUUCUCAUAUAAGAGAAGCUACACGGUAUUUAAUUUUCUGCGUCUGACUUAUUUCAGGUAGCAGUGUGGUCUCAAAACUCCAUCCGUUUUCCUGCAAUUGACAUGAAUUCAUUCUGCUCAUAUCAUCAUCAUCAUCAUCAUCAUCAUCAUCAUCAUCAUCAAAAGACUGCUGUUUCCUUUGGUUUCAUCCUACCCUUCAGCCUGAUUUUCUGGUUCUUCCGGUUGGACCGAGUUUGUCAUUUCUUCUCUCUACUCAGGUGAAGAACUUUUCGCAGAUCCUUGCGGUGCUAAUUGCAAAACACUACAGUGCAUACAUGCUUAAAAUAAAACGAACGAGGGCCGUUAGUAGCCAAAAGAGGCCUGGUUCGGGCCUAUAAGGACCAGGCGUUCUCCAAAGAUAAGGAGCAUUCAAAGUGUAGGGGUUGGGGGCUGGCGAUCAGAGGACUCCGGCAGGACACAAGCUCUCAGGGGCGAUGCCAGGGCCCAGCGCGGAGUCACCCCGCACGCCGCGGGGGCCUCGGGUCUCGGGCUCCCCAGAGGUCAGCCUCGCCCCUGGGGACCUCGAGGGGCGUGGGUGCCCGGAGCCGGAGGAGGAGCGUGGGCGCAUCGUGGCGCCGAGUUCCUUGCAACCUCUGGGUACCAGGCACGUCAGAUUGGGAGCUGGGGAAGGUGGGGAGCGGGCCGCCACGGCGCGGGAGGGGCCCUUCCCGCUUUCCGCGCCCGCACGCCCGCCCCUGCCGCCCACCUGGCCGCG